AUGCCCAACGAGAGAAUUUUUCACCGAGUUCGAGGAUGGGAACACUGGUGAAUGUGUGUACAUGAGGAACUCUAGCAGUUCUGAAGUGCUAGGCAAAGGCAAGGUUUUACUCAAGCUGACUUCUGGUAAAACUCUAGCUUUAAAUAAUG